UACGGGGGGGGGCAAGCGUUGUUCGGAAUUACUGGGCGUAAAGGGCUCGUAGGCGGCCAACUAAGUCAGACGUGAAAUCCCUCGGCUUAACCGGGGAACUGCGUCUGAUACUGGAUGGCUUGGAUUUGGGAGAGGGAUGGCGGAAUUCCAGGUGUAGCGGUGAAAUGCGUAGAUAUCUGGAGGAACACCGGUGGCGAAGGCGCAUCCUGGACCGAAUAUUGA
rnacentral:rRNA from 1 species